rnacentral:rRNA from 1 species
CCUACGGGAGGCAGCAGUGGGGAAUAUUGCACAAUGGGCGCAAGCCUGAUGCAGCGACGCCGCGUGCGGGAUGGAGGCCUUCGGGUUGUAAACCGCUUUUGUUUGGGAGCAAGCCCUUCGGGGUGAGUGUACCUUUCUAAUAAGCACCGGCUAACUACGUGCCAGCAGCCGCGGUAA